rnacentral:rRNA from 1 species
AAAGCUCCCUUCGGGGAGCAAGUAGAGUGGCGCACGGGUGAGUAACACGUAGGUAAUCUACCUUUGGAUGGGGAAUAACAACCGGAAACGGUUGCUAAUACCGCAUAAUGCAGCGGCACCUAAUGGUGACAGUUGUUAAAGCGGGGGAUCGCAAGACCUCGCGUCUGAAGAGGAGCCUGCGGCAGAUUAGCUAGUUGGUAAGGUAACGGCUUACCAAGGCGAUGAUCUGUAGCCGGCCUGAGAGGGCGGUCGGCCACACUGACACUGACAUACGGGUCAGACUCCUACGGGAGGCAGCAGUCGGGAAUUUUGGGCAAUGGGCGAAAGCCUGACCCAGCAACGCCGCGUGAAGGAUGAAAUCCUUCGGGAUGUAAACUUCGCAAGAACGGGAAGAAUAAGUAAGAGUUAAUAUCUCUUACGAUGACGGUACUGUUUGUAAGCUCCGGCUAACUCCGUGCCAGCAGCCGCGGUAAUACGGGGGGAGCAAGCGUUGUUCGGAUUUACUGGGCGUAAAGGGCGCGUAGGCGGCCUCUGCAAGUCGACUGUGAAAUCUCCGGGCUUAACCCGGAACGGUCAGCCGAUACUGCAGGGCUAGAGUGCAGAAGGGGCAACCGGAAUUCUCGGUGUAGCGGUGAAAUGCGUAGAUAUCGAGAGGAACACCUGCGGCGAAGGCGGGUUGCUGGGCUGACACUGACGCUGAGGCGCGAAAGCUAGGGGAGCGAACGGGAUUAGAUACCCCGGUAGUCCUAGCCUUAAACGAUGAAUGCUUGGUGUCUGGGGUUUUAUAGUCCCCGGGUGCCGUCGCUAACGCUUUAAGCAUUCCGCCUGGGGAGUACGGUCGCAAGACUGAAACUC